AGUGAACGCUGGCGGUAGGCCUAACACAUGCAAGUCGAACGGCAGCACAGUAAGAGCUUGCUCUUACGGGUGGCGAGUGGCGGACGGGUGAGGAAUACAUCGGAAUCUACUUUUUCGUGGGGGAUAACGUAGGGAAACUUACGCUAAUACCGCAUACGACCUACGGGUGAAAGCAGGGGAUCUUCGGACCUUGCGCGAUUGAAUGAGCCGAUGUCGGAUUAGCUAGUUGGCGGGGUAAAGGCCCACCAAGGCGACGAUCCGUAGCUGGUCUGAGAGGAUGAUCCGCCACACUGGAACUGAGACACGGUCCAGACUCCUACGGGCGGCAGCAGUGGGGAAUAUUGGACAAUGGGCGCAAGCCUGAUCCAGCCAUACCGCGUGGGUGAAGAAGGCCUUCGGGUUGUAAAGCCCUUUUGUUGGGAAAGAAAAGCAGCAGGUUAAUACCCCGCUGUUCUGACGGUACCCAAAGAAUAAGCACCGGCUAACUUCGUG
rnacentral:rRNA from 1 species